rnacentral:rRNA from 1 species
UCUGCGAUUACUAGCGACUCCGACUUCAUGAGGUCGAGUUGCAGACCUCAAUCCGAACUGGGACCGGCUUUUUGGGAUUCGCUCCACCUCGCGGUAUUGCAGCCCUUUGUACCGGCCAUUGUAGCAUGCGUGAAGCCCAAGACAUAAGGGGCAUGAUGAUUUGACGUCAUCCCCACCUUCUUCCGAGUUGACCCCGGCAGUAUCCCAUGAGUUCCCACCAUUACGUGCUGGCAACAUAGAACGAGGGUUGCGCUCGUUGCGGGACUUAACCCAACAUCUCACGACACGAGCUGACGACAACCAUGCACCACCUGUUUACGAGUGUCCAAAGAGUUGACCAUUUCUGGCCCGUUCUCGUAUAUGUCAAGCCUUGGUAAGGUUCUUCGCGUUGCAUCGAAUUAAUCCGCAUGCUCCGCCGCUUGUGCGGGUCCCCGUCAAUUCCUUUGAGUUUUAGCCUUGCGGCCGUACUCCCCAGGCGGGGAACUUAAUGCGUUAGCUGCGUCGCGGAAUCCGUGGAAUGGACCCCACAACUAGUUCCCAACGUUUACGGGGUGGACUACCAGGGUAUCUAAGCCUGUUUGCUCCCCACCCUUUCGCUCCUCAGCGUCAGUUACGGCCCAGAGAUCUGCCUUCGCCAUCGGUGUUCCUCCUGAUAUCUGCGCAUUCCACCGCUACACCAGGAAUUCCAAUCUCCCCUACCGCACUCUAGUCUGCCCGUACCCACUGCAGGCCGGAGGUUGAGCCUCCGGAUUUCACAGCAGACGCGACAAACCGCCUACGAGCUCUUUACGCCCAAUAAUUCCGGAUAACGCUUGCGCCCUACGUAUUACCGCGGCUGCUGGCACGUAGUUAGCCGGCGCUUUUUCUGCAGGUACCGUCACUUUCGCUUCUUCCCUGCUAAAAGAGGUUUACAACCCGAAGGCCGUCGUCCCUCACGCGGCGUUGCUGCAUCAGGCUUGCGCCCAUUGUGCAAUAUUCCCCACUGCUGCCUCCCGUAGGAGUCUGGGCCGUGUCUCAGUCCCAGUGUGGCCGGUCACCCUCUCAGGCCGGCUACCCGUCGACGCCUUGGUGAGCCAUUACCUCACCAACAAGCUGAUAGGCCGCGAGCCCAUCCCCAACCGAAAUUCUUUCCAGACGCAGACCAUGCGGUCACGUCACAUAUCCAGUAUUAGACGCCGUUUCCAGCGCUUAUCCCAGAGUCAGGGGCAGGUUGCUCACGUGUUACUCACCCGUUCGCCACUGAUCCCACAGAGCAAGCUCCGUGUUCAC